GAUGAACGCUGGCGGCGUGCUUAACACAUGCAAGUCGAACGGUGAAGGCGGAGCUUGCUCUGCUGGAUCAGUGGCGAACGGGUGAGUAACACGUGAGCAAUCUGCCCCUGACUCUGGGAUAAGCGCUGGAAACGGCGUCUAAUACUGGAUACGAGCUGCGAAGGCAUCUUCAGCAGCUGGAAAGAAUUUCGGUCAGGGAUGAGCUCGCGGCCUAUCAGCUUGUUGGUGAGGUAAUGGCUCACCAAGGCGUCGACGGGUAGCCGGCCUGAGAGGGUGACCGGCCACACUGGGACUGAGACACGGCCCAGACUCCUACGGGAGGCAGCAGUGGGGAAUAUUGCACAAUGGGCGAAAGCCUGAUGCAGCAACGCCGCGUGAGGGACGACGGCCUUCGGGUUGUAAACCUCUUUCAGCAGGGAAGAAGCGAAAGUGACGGUACCUGCAGAAAAAGCGCCGGCUAACUACGUG
rnacentral:rRNA from 1 species